GAGCGCGUUCCAUUUGCCUCGGAAAUUGGAAGCCGAAGCUGAGAAUGACGUUACACCCGAGUUUAAUGCGUUCCAUUUACAAGUCGGAUUUUCAUUGUUUUCAUUAGCUCUAGCCAGGUUAGCCAUUGUUAGCAAUGCCAGUAUAUAACAAUGCAUCACGCUGUUUUUUGUGCAUAUGAACAGCGUAACAUCAUGUACACAGACAGA